rnacentral:rRNA from 1 species
UACGUAGGGUGCAAGCGUUGUCCGGAAUUAUUGGGCGUAAAGGGCUCGUAGGCGGUCUGUCGCGUCGGGAGUGAAAACUCAGGGCUUAACCCUGAGCCUGCUUCCGAUACGGGCAGACUAGAGGUAUGCAGGGGAGAACGGAAUUCCUGGUGUAGCGGUGAAAUGCGCAGAUAUCAGGAGGAACACCAGUGGCGAAGGCGGUUCUCUGGGCAUUACCUGACGCUGAGGAGCGAAAGUGUGGGGAGCGAACAGG